GACGAACGCUGGCGGCGUGCUUAAUACAUGCAAGUCAACUGAACUUAAGGUAGCAAUAUUUUAAGGGAGGUGGCGCACGGGUGAGUAACACGUAGGUAAUCUGCCUUUAGGUCUGACACAACCUACCGAAAGGUAGGCUAAUAUCAGAUGAUGCAGCGGCUCGACAUCGAGACAGUUGUUAAACCUUCGGGGGCCUAAAGAUGAGCCUGCGUCUGAUUAGGUAGUUGGCGGAGUAAUAGCCCACCAAGCCUGCGAUCAGUAGCUGGUCUGAGAGGAUGAUCAGCCACAAUGGGACUGAGACACGGCCCAUACUCCUACGGGAGGCAGCAGUGGGGAAUUUUACGCAAUGGGCGAAAGCCUGACGUAGCGACACCGCGUGAGCGAAGAAGCCCCUUGGGUGUAAAGCUCUGUCAGCUGGAACGAAAAAAUAGACGGUACCAGCAGAGAAGCAUCGGCUAACUACGUGCCAGCAGCCGCGGUAAU
rnacentral:rRNA from 1 species